GCUGGGCGCGGUGGCGGGCGCCUGUAAUCCCAGCUACCUGGGAGGCAGAGGCAGGAGAAUGGCGUGAACCCGGGAGGUGGAGCUUGCAGUGAGCUGAGGGUGCCACUGCACUCCAGCCUGGGUGACAGAGCAAGAUUCUGUCUCGA
ensembl:misc_RNA Metazoa_SRP Metazoan signal recognition particle RNA